UAAUACGAGUGGUGCGAGCAUUAUUCGGAAUCAUUGGGCGUAAAGGGUGUGUAGGCGGUAUAUCAAGUCUGUUGUUAAAUCUCCCAGCCUAACUGGGAAAAUGCGGUGGAAACUGAUGUACUAGAAGAUGGAAGAGAGAAGUGGAAUUCUCGGAGUAGCGGUAAAAUGCGUAGAUCUCGAGAGGAACACCAAUGGCGAAGGCAGCUUCUUGGUCCAAUCUUGACGCUGAGACACGAAAGCGUGGGUAGCAAACAGGAUUAGAUACCCUGGUAGUCCACGCCCUAAACGAUGAUCACUUGAUGUUGGUUUUGCUUUUUGCGAAGUCAGUAUCGUAGCUAACGCGAUAAGUGAUCCGCCUGGGAACUACGGUCGCAAGACUA
rnacentral:rRNA from 1 species